UUGGAAGGUAAAAAGCGUAACAAGGUCUCCGUAGGUGAACCUGCGGAGGGAUCAUUACACAAAUAUGAAGGCGGGCUGGAACCUCUCGGGGUUACAGCCUUGCUGAAUUAUUCACCCUUGUCUUUUGCGUACUUCUUGUUUCCUUGGUGGGUUCGCCCACCACUAGGACAAACAUAAACCUUUUGUAAUUGCAAUCAGCGUCAGUAACAAAUUAAUAAUUACAACUUUCAACAACGGAUCUCUUGGUUCUGGCAUCGAUGAAGAACGCAGCGAAAUGCGAUAAGUAGUGUGAAUUGCAGAAUUCAGUGAAUCAUCGAAUCUUUGAACGCACAUUGCGCCCUUUGGUAUUCCAAAGGGCAUGCCUGUUCGAGCGUCAUUUGUACCCUCAAGCUUUGCUUGGUGUUGGGCGUCUUGUCUCUAGCUUUGCUGGAGACUCGCCUUAAAGUAAUUGGCAGCCGGCCUACUGGUUUCGGAGCGCAGCACAAGUCGCACUCUCUAUCAGCAAAGGUCUAGCAUCCAUUAAGCCUUUUUUCAACUUUGACCUCGAUCAGUAGU
rnacentral:rRNA from 1 species